UAGGGAAUAUUGCACAAUGGGCGAAAGCCUGAUGCAGCAACGCCGCGUGCGCGAUGAAGGCCUUCGGGUCGUAAACCGCUUUCAGUAGGGAAGAAGCGAAAGUGACGGUACCUACAAAAGAAGCCCCGGCUAACUACGUGCCAGCAGCCGCGGUAACACGUAGGGGGCGAGCGUUGUUCGGAAUUACUGGGCGUAAAGGGCAUGUAGGCGGCUUUGUAAGCCCGGCGUGGAAGCCCACGGCUCAACCGUGGGAUUGCGUUGGGAACUGCGAGGCUUGAAUCAUGGAGAGGGAGCUAGAAUUCCUGGUGUAGGGGUGAAAUCUGUAGAGAUCAGGAAGAAUACCAGUGGCGAAGGCGAGCUCCUGGCCAAUGAUUGACGCUGAGGUGCGAAAGUGUGGGGAUCAAACAGG
rnacentral:rRNA from 1 species